rnacentral:rRNA from 1 species
CCCUUAGAUGUCCGGGGCCGCGCGCGCUACACUGAAGGAAUCAGCGUGGCUUUCUCCCUGACCCGAAAGGGUUGGGAAACCCGUUGAAUCUCCUUCGUGAUAGGGAUUGGGGCUUGAAAUUGUUCCCCAUGAACGAGGAAUUCCCAGUAAGCGCGAGUCAUAAGCUCGCGUUGAUUACGUCCCUGCCCUUUGUACACACCGCCCGUCGCUACUACCGAUUGAACGGUUUAGUGAGGGCCUCGGAUUGGUCUCGGCCCGCUCUUUACCGGGCGGCGCCGUUGGUCGAGAAGACGCUCGAACUUGAUCGUUUAGAGGAAGUAAAAGUCGUAACA